UACGGGAGGCAGCAGUGGGGGAUAUUGCACAAUGGGGGAAACCCUGAUGCAGCGACGCCGCGUGGAGGAAGAAGGUUUUCGGAUUGUAAACUCCUGUCGUUAGGGACGAUAAUGACGGUACCUAACUAGAAAGCNCCGGCUAACUACGUGCCAGCAGCCGCGGUAAAACGUAGGGUGCAAGCGUUGUCCGGAAUUACUGGGUGUAAAGGGAGCGCAGGCGGGAAGACAAGUUGGAAGUGAAAACCAUGGGCUCAACCCAUGAAUUGCUUUCAAAACUGUUUUUCUUGAGUAGUGCAGAGGUAGAUGGAAUUCCCGGUGUAGCGGUGGAAUGCGUAGAUAUCGGGAGGAACACCAGUGGCGAAGGCGGUCUACUGGGCACCAACUGACGCUGAGGCUCGAAAGCAUGGGUAGCAAACAGGAUUAGAUACCCUGGUAGUCCAUGCCGUAAACGAUGAUUACUAGGUGUUGGGGGAUUGACCCCCUCUNUGCCNCNGUUAACACAAUAAGUAAUCCACCUGGGGAGUACGACCGCCAGGUUGAAACUCAUAGGAAUUGACGG
rnacentral:rRNA from 1 species